GGUGGAGGUGGGGGUGGAGGUGGUGGAGGACGAGGUGGAGGAGGACCAAGAACAAGGAGAGUAAUAUCUGAUGACAUUCGGGCAACUGUGGUGGUCCAUGUGGUCAAACCACCAAAUGUUUCAUGUAUUACUGUAUGUGUGAAAUUGGGAGCUAUACUACUUUGUAACAUGUUUAUCUUGUAUACUGUAUUACUACAGUGUUUACUGUACUGUAUGCAAUUUUGUUUUUGUAGAACUGAAAGACGCGUCUAUUUACAGACCAACAGGAGGCUGCCAUUGUGUAAAUAGUAGUUGAAAAUAAUGCCACAAGACUACGAGAAAUCCAGCAACAGAUUAUUGAAAACCCUGCCAUCUUCCUUAACAUCAGAGUGAGCUUAUCAACCAUCCUUAAUUAAGAAACACCAUCUUUGGAUGAAGCAAAUCUACAGAGUCCCGUUUGAAAGGAAUUCCCAAAGAGUGAAGGAUAAACGGUACGUGCAAAGAAUCAUGGAGUUGGAUGCAAGUCCUAUCCCCAAAGAACUCAUAUUCACCGAUGAUGCUGAGUUCAAUUUAGAGAAGACAUGGAGGAGAGGAAGGAACAUCCUUGGUCAACGCGCCCUCAUUGAGGUACCUGACCAGCGCGGGGCAAAUGUCGUCAUAUGCACAGCAAUGAGCCACAAUGGGGUAAUCCACUGCCAUGCCACCCUUGGACCAUAAAACACUGCCCAAAUCCUUCAUUUCCCGAACACCUUACAUGACAAUCUUUUCAGCCAGAGCAGAUAGGGCCAGGUGAUCCUGAACAGCAAAUGUAUGUUCUGAUUUGGGACAACGUGAGUUUUCUUCGGGCUGCUCAGGUCCACAACUCCUUCCAUGACCAUCCCUGGUUUACAAUUCUUUAUCUCUCACCAUAUUCCCCAUUUCUCAACUCCACUGAGGAGUUGUUUUCAGCACGGCGGUUGAAGGUGUAUGAUCACAAACCCCAUGAACGUAUGGCCCUUCUCCAGGCAAUGGAGGAGGCCUGUGGUGACAUUUCAACAGAGUUCUGUCAGGUGUGGAGGCGUCAUGACAGAAGAUAUUUCCUGCGCUGUCUGGCCAAGGAGAAUAUUGCCUGUGAUAUUGGUGAAAAUCUGUGGCCGGACCAAAACAAGAGACAUGACUGAUUUUAUUUUUGCAAUGGAUUAUUUGUUUCUUGAAAUGAUUUAGAUGUUACUAUGUUUUAAACAGUUUAUUUAUUUAUUCCGUACAAUUGAUCUAAUAUACAGUACAGUAGUACAAAUAGGCCUAUUUUUCUUCCUUUGUAUAUGCAAAAUGUAUUUACUUGUCAUGUUGAGAUAUAUAAACGAAAAUGUUUGCAUGUGUGUUCCUUUCUUGUUUGAGUAAACACAGACAGUAUAAAGUAUAAAAACAAAAUCUUAGUCUUUUCACUCAAAUAGGUUAUGUUAGUAGUGUUUUGAAUAUGUCAUGUUAGUGUGAUCUCGGUUGUCACUAAGUUACAUUCAUUUGAUGUUUGUGUGUGUCUCAUUUGUGUGCAGAAUUCAAUUUUGAGCAGGGAGGACAGUGGGGAGAACAAGUAUUUGAUACACUGCCGAUUUUGCAGGUUUUCCUACUUACAAAGCAUAUAGAGGUCUGUAAUUUCUCUCGUAGGUACACUUCAACUUCAAUCUAAAACUAAAAUCCAGAAAAUCACAUUGUAUGAUUUUUAAGUAAUUCAUUUUUGCAAAUGUGGUUAAACUUACCUACAGUAUUACAAAUGUAUAAUGAUCAAAUUCUUAAAUACAUUUGAAGAAUAUCUGAUCGUUUCCUUGCCUUUCUUUCUGGAUUGCAUAUUUUAGACCCACUUUUGCAAAACUGUAAAUACAAGAUCAUCAAUGAAUACAAAAUUCAUUAAAAGUGUUUUGUUCACAGAAUAUCAACACGUUGUUCUCAUCAGGAGAGAAAAAAGUUGCAAAUGUGUUCACUGUUUCAAAUACUACUGCACAAAAUAGGGAAUGGCGUUAACAAUUUCACACACACACACACACACGCACACACGGCGGCUAGCACACACACUCUGCACACACAUACAUUGUGAUAUUGUUGGAUGGUGCUAUUGUACAUUUUGUGUUGUAGAUAUGUAGUGGUGUAACAAUGUUAUAUGAUGUUUUAUAUUUUGUUGUAUGUGUAAUGUAAGUGCCUUAAUGUUUUUUUUUCCCCCUCAGGAAGAGUAGAUGCUGCCUGGGAAGCAGCUAAUGGGGAUCCAUAAUAACUAAAAAAUACAAAUACAGUAGACCAUCAGGUACAAUAUAGGGUAAGAUCUAGGCAACAAGGACUCUUUCAUUUGUAUGGUUUUUGUAUGAUUCACAACAUUGCAGACAUGCAGAGAUGCAGAGAAUGAAGUGGAGCUACUUCUAAGUAACUUUGGGUUACUCAUGAGUCAUCAUGAGUCAUCAUCUCAGUUUAGACUCAAGAGAAAUGUAUGUUUGUGUUAAUCUUUUUGCAGUAUGAGUGACAAUACCCAUAAAACCUAGCAGUCAAGCAGGGAAAUAGUUCCAAUCGUUUUUCCACCAUUCGUUUUUCCCAUAGGGGAUUUCAGAAACACUUCAAAUCAGGGCUGUGUUUCGUGUAGGCCUAUGCUGGCGUGACGUUUUGGUAACCGUGGAAAUCUCUCCAGGAUAAGGUGACUUUUAUCAAUGUAUUUGCCUGUAUUUACCCCCUAAAAAUGAAAUGCUAAUUAGCUGCUAAUGUGGAAGAAUCUCUCGAUUAACUAUCUAAUGUUAGCUAAAUGUAGUAAUGAAUAAAUUGGGUACAUUUCUCUACAUUUCCAUUUAAUGGACAAUUCUCUGCUGUCUUGUGCAAGUUUAAAAUGACACAAUACCCGUUAGCAAAGGUGUCAGCUAGAGAUGACGUGCAGGAGCUUGCAGGGAUUUGUAGUCUUGUAUGAUGUCUACUUUGAUGCUAAUUAGCCUUUUCGAAUCUGAGCAUAAAUGGAGCCGACUAUAUUGAUAAAAGUCUCCUUGUCCGAAAGAGAUUUCCAUGGUUAUCAAAACGACCGUAGCCAAUACGAAACACAGCUCUUAUUAUGGGGUUUUAAAACCCCUAUGGGACAAACGAAUGGUGGAAAACGAUUGGAACCAUUUCCCUGUUUGACCGUUUUUGUGGGUAUUAUGACAGGUUAGCAUAUCUUUGGGGUAUGAUAGUUGUGCCUCUGUAACAUUGUCACUCAUCAUUAUUCACGAUGAAUUCAUUAUUAUCUGUAACCAUGGUAGCAUCCACAUUAAUGUCGAGGUGUUCAGAAACAUAUUUGAUUCUUAUUUACAAUAAAAGUGACAAAAAAAC
ensembl:lncRNA